GCCGCGAUGGUGUAGCUCGGCCAAGCAUCUGGGGCUUUCGAUCCAAUUAUAAUAAGUGCUUGGAGGAGACCCCCCAAGAAGAGUAGAAAUCUUGGGAUACUCGGGUUCAAAUCCCGAUCGCGGCA
rnacentral:tRNA from 1 species